rnacentral:lncRNA from 1 species
GAAGCACGCCUAAUCAGUGUUUUUCUCUUUGCCCUUACUUUUUCUUUAUCACUUUACAUUCCAGUUCGACUACAUAUAUUUAAUAGCUAGAAUGUGUUAUUAGAUAUGCGCAGUAAACGUGCGCAAUGCAAAACUGAUGAAUCACCUUAAUCUUCUGAAAGAAACGUUAACUCGGCAGAUAUAGUUCAAAUAUUUCAGAAAAUUAUUCGAUGUAAAUACAUUAAAGGGCGAACAAAUAAAAUGUGGCGAACAAAUAAAAUAAAAGGGCGAACAAAUAAAACCUAUAUAUAUAUAUAGGACCUAUAUAACGAAGGACGAAUACAAAAUCUGUAAAAGCAAUACUUUCAUCUUCUGUCGGUUCUUUCAGAUGUAAAUGUAAUGUUAGAAAUUUUAUAUAAAUUUUAUACAAGUUCAUACACAGCUCAGUGGUAAGCACAGCGUUACUUGACGUUUGACAUGAUGACGAUUGAACCCGAAACUUUUGAAGGGUUCUAUUUGAUGACGUAUUGUUAUGACGUAAAGUUAACACAAAACUGCUG